GAGCUUUUUUUUGUUUUUCGGCCACCGCGAACGGCGGCGCCGUCGCCGGCGUCCGGCGACCGGCGCGAUGGCCGAUGGCCGGCAAAGGGGGCUCUUCCUCUCUUUUUACAGACACAAGAGCAAUAAAAACAUAAACUUUGAAUCGAAGAAGUAAUUUUCGUUUCUUUAUUUUUGUGUGUUUUUACAUCUAGUUUGAUUUCUUUUUAUUUCUUUCUACUUACGAAAAUAAAAACAAAAGAAAUAAGGAGAGGAGAAACUCACCGGAGUUGGCCGUGACCGUGCCGCCGGGGUUUCUCUUCCAUCGUCGGCCGUCGGUCUUGGUGGCGUGGUGGCACUCAAGGUGUUAAGAAACCCAAGUGUUGGGCGUUUGAAAAAAUGGUGGUU
rnacentral:lncRNA from 1 species